CGGCGGAACCUUUUUCAACUGUCUCUUCCCCCACCCUUCUAAAUUCUUUCCUGUGUGAAGAAACCCAGAUACAUCAGAAAGACGAGAAGACCCUGUCGAGCUUUAACCACUAGGUGAGUUUACUUAUCCCUUUUUAAAUAUCACCAAAAGGUUUUGGUUGGGGCAACCACGGAGAAAAAAAAUCCUCCAGAUUAAAUAGAAGAAAACUCUUCACUAUUACGCUUUCAAGAACCAGGAACUGGUAAUCGGAAAAAGUUACCGCAGGGAUAACAGCGUUAUCUCCUCUAAGAGUCCUUAUUGACGAGGAGGUUUGCGACCUCGAUGUUGGAUUGGGGCCCCCUUAGGGUGCAGAAGCUCUAAACGGUUAGACUGUUCGUCUAUUAAAGCCCUACGUGAUCUGAGU
rnacentral:rRNA from 1 species